GAGUUUGAUCGUGGCUCAGAGCGAACGCUGGCGGCAGGCUUAACACAUGCAAGUCGAGCGGGCGUAGCAAUACGUCAGCGGCAGACGGGUGAGUAACACGUGGGAACGUACCUUUUGGUUCGGAACAACUGAGGGAAACUUCAGCUAAUACCGGAUAAGCCCUAACGGGAAAGAUUUAUCGCCGAAAGAUCGGCCCGCGUCUGAUUAGCUAGUUGGUGAGGUAAUGGCUCACCAAGGCGACGAUCAGUAGCUGGUCUGAGAGGAUGAUCAGCCACACUGGGACUGAGACACGGCCCAGACUCCUACGGGAGGCAGCAGUGGGGAAUAUUGGACAAUGGGGCAACCCUGAUCCAGCCAUGCCGCGUGAGUGAUGAAGGCCCUAGGGUUGUAAAGCUCUUUUGUGCGGGAAGAUAAUGACGGUACCGCAAGAAUAAGCCCCGAUAACUCGUGCCAGCCGCGCGGU
rnacentral:rRNA from 1 species